rnacentral:rRNA from 1 species
CCCUUAGAUGUUCUGGGCCGCACGCGCGCUACACUGUUCGACGCAGCGAGUCUUAACCUUGACCGAAAGGUUUGGGUAAUCUUCAGCAAAGUCGAACGUGAUGGGGAUCGAUCAUUGCAAUUAUUGAUCGGGAACGAGGAAUUCCUAGUAAGUGCAAGUCAUCAGCUUGCGCUGAUUACGUCCCUGCCCUUUGUACACACCGCCCGUCGCUACUACCGAUUGAAUGGUUUAGUGAGAUCUCUGGAUUGACGCUGGCUAGGGGGCGACCCUUGGCCAGGCUGUCGAGAAACUGCUCAAACUUGAUCAUUUAGAGGAAGUAAAAGUCGUAACA